rnacentral:rRNA from 1 species
AUUGAACGCUGGCGGCAGGCCUAACACAUGCAAGUCGAGCGGAGCGGCGGCCGGGUGAGUAAUGCCUAGGAAUCUGCCUGGUAGUGGGGGCUAACGUCCGGAAACGGGCGCUAAUACCGCAUACUAUCAGAUGAGCCUAGGUCGGAUUAGCUAGUUGGUGGGGUAAAGGCCUACCAAGGCGACGAGCCGUAACUGGUCUGAGAGGAUGAUCAGUCAAAGUGGAACUGAGACAGGGCCCAGACUCCUACGGGGGGCAGCAGUGGGGAAUAUGGGACAAUGGGGGAAAGCCUGAUCCAGCCGUGCCGUGUGUGUGAAGAAGGUCUGCGGAUUGUAAAGCACUUUAAGUUGGAAGACGUUACCAACAGAAUAAGCACGGGCUAAUUUCGUCCCACCAGCGGCGGUAAUA